UGAGGAAUAUUGGGCAAUGGACGCAAGUCUGACCCAGCAACGCCGCGUGAAGGACGAAGGCCUUCGGGUUGUAAACUUCUUUUGCAGGGGAAAAAGAAAGGAUGGUACCCUGCGAAUAAGUCACGGCUAACUACGUGCCAGCAGCCGCGGUAAUACGUAGGUGACGAGCGUUAUCCGGAAUUACUGGGCGUAAAGCGCACGCGAGGUGGCUGUUCAAGUCUGGCGUGAAAUCUCUUGGCUUAACCAGGAGCGGUCGCUGGAAACUGAAUGGCUUGAGGCGAUGAGAGGGGGUGCAGAAUUCCCGGUGUAGUGGUGGAAUGCGUAGAUAUCGGGAGGAAUACCAGUGGCGAAGGCGGCACCCGUGGCGUCGUACUGACACUCAUGUGCGAAAGCGUGGGGAGUGAACGGGAUUAGAGACCCUAGUAG
rnacentral:rRNA from 1 species